AAGUUGCUAGCUGUCCACCUGCUCUCCCGGAAACAGCUAGAGAGGCUGGACUGGAGAAGGUGACAGCCCCAGAGGAGACAGUGCUUCCCAGAUCCAGGCAGGAAGCCUGCUUUCCCCGCCUCGCAGCGUUGUUCCGGGCCGCGGCACUCAAGCCCGGCUCUUGUAGAGCCGCAGCCCUUCUUGAGCCGGGGCUCCCGGGGCAACUCCGGGACGCCGCAGGCCACAGGGUGGGGCGACCGCGGCGGGGCCCUGGGCCUGCUCGGAGGGCGAAGGCGCCUGGCAGUUGUCUCUUUACGGGGAAAUGUAAUCUUCCCUCUGAGAUAACAAAGAGCUGGGAAGUUCAGGAAGGGUUUGUAGGCCCCUCGCCUUGCCGGUAGGUCGGCAGAGGGGGAGACAAAGGCCCUUGCGCUCCAGGACCAGAGAUAACCAGGGGGCCUGCCGCCUCUGGGCUCGGUGGGAGGAGGGGAGCGGUGCUGAAUACAAGUAAGGGAAACGGAGCUCUCCCCAAAGCCCUGGCUGCCUUCUUUGUUUAGGAAUACGGCUGCAGAGCCUUUCCUCUGCCUCGCCGGUUCUAGCAGGAAGGCAGGAGAAUUCUGUAAAGCCAGGAAUCAACUGUGCCCACCACGGCCGAGCACCCCCUCCCGCUCAGGCCAUCAGUGCUCUCUGGUUGGGAGAGAGGAAGCAGAGGAUGGGCUCCCAGGUCCACCAAGCCCAGCCGGCUGGAGUCCCUGGAAAUCUGGGAACCGGCCGGGCUAGCUGGGAGAGCCGUCGCAGGAGGGGGAUGCAUGAGCUGAGAACUGCUUUGGCUCUCCGUGAAAAAGUGGCUGGUUCACAGGCCCUGGGUAGCAGGUGGGCCGCUUGUGCCUUUUGCCCCAGGCUCCUGGAGUUAGGGACAGCAGCCAGUUACCAUCUGGCCGCCAUUUGGUGACCCCUGACUGUUCCUAGUACAGCAUCAGGGAAGGAGGGAGAGAGGGAGGGAGGGAGGGAGGGGGGAGAAUCUUGUUUGGCAUGGUGUUUUUGUAAAUAACGUUUCGGUUCGUUCUGUAUGCUGCGAGCGGGAAAGGGAACUGCCACAUUCAUUCUUGGAGCCGGAGGACAUCUGUGUCAGGCUUUGACUCCAAGAGAACAGAUAAGGAAAGGAAGAGUAUGCUUGCAUUUUUGAGAGACGCCAAGCAAACAUACAGACUCACCUGGGAUAGUGGAAGAAGCAGGCUCUGAGAAACAUCGGAGGAUGGGUUAAGUUGACAUUGGGUCACUUUUGAGUGUGGGUUCCGGACCUGCCACGCCUUCCUGCCUGUGUUCUUGCCAGUUCCCUUGUCAGUUCCGUUUCCACGAUGGUACCUUGACGAUCCCAAGAGUAAUUUCUUAAGGCCGUUGAAAGGAUUAAAUGAGAUACUGCAACAACGCGGCCGGCCUGGUGCCUAAGCACACAGUAAGUUCAGCCUUAGUCAUUCCGUUAGCCCAGGAACUUUGUUUUGACCCAAGCCAUCUCUUUUGGAGCCUACUUUCUAGAUUCUGUAUGGCUUUACUAUCUACUCUCUGCCUACACCCCUGUUGAAAUUGCUUUCUCCAACAGCGGCGGCAGAAAAGGAUAUUUUCCACACUUGCCGCCCUUCCUUUUGGCACCCCAAGAUAAGCAGCCCCCCCCCCUUGUUACGGGUUUUGCUGGGAAACAGGAAGAAAACAAAAACAUGUGUGGAAAAGGAGGUUUAUACAAACCUCAGUCGCACUAUACAACCUCGGUCUGGUUUUCCACCUCCCCUCAGAAUGCUAGCUGAAGGCAGGUUGGCCACUUGUCCUGUUUUUUCUUCAGGACUUUCCAAAGUUUCCCUUCCUCCAACUUACAAACUUUUCCCAGUUAAAGCCAACAAUUCAUCCAAGGCCAAGAGACUAGAGAGGUGACAGAGCAAACAAUUUGCAUUUCUGAGAAGCCCUGGGGGUGGGGGGGUGGGGGUGGAUGAGUUCUAAGGCUUCUGCCUAGGGACAAAGAUCAAAGAUCCAGGCUUAGGCUGAGACACUUGAGGAUUGAACUUUGAAGUGGAUUCCACCCGAGUUGCAAACAAUUUCUGCUAGGAGGCUAAGAACUUUUGGUGAUACUGGGAGAGGUGGAGGUAACGUGGAGAACUAAAAAGCAGGAGAUGGAGAGAAAUCAGAUAGAUACAGGAGAGUGUUUGCCUAGUAUAUACCUAUCCCUGGGUUUGAUCCACAGCAAUACAGAAAGGAUCCCUAAUGCUCCAGGGAUGCUGGUAGGAGGAUCAAUAGUCCAGGGUCAUCCUCCUGCCUUGGUGAGUUUUAGGCCAGCAUGAAACCCUGUCUUUAAGAAGGGAGGAGGAAAGAAGAAGAAAUAAAAAAAAAAAAGAAAAAAAAAAACCAAACCAUAAACAUCUGGCUCUGGUAAUUCUUUUCUAAGAGAUUAUUACACAGAUGUUUUUGUAUAAGAAUAAUUAUUAGGUGAACUAUAUUUAUGUGUAUCUAUGUGAGUGUCUAUUUUCUUAACACAAGAUUACAGUCACGGUAUGAAGAAUCACGUUUAUUCCCUUCCAAUUAGGUAAUAAUUAAUGAUCUUUCUUAUUCCUUUCUUAAAGGUUAUUUAUUUAUUUACUUAUUUGUGUGUGUGUGUGUGUGUGUGUGUGUGUGUGUGUGUGUGUGUGUCUGUGUGGAUAGAAGAGGGUGUUGGACCCCUUGAAUCUGGACUUUCAGGACGUUGUGAGCUGCCUGACACAGUACUGGAAACCGAUCCUCCGAAGGAGGAUGCCCGGUUUUGAAAUGUGGAUGUACAUGGUCUAUUUUUCAAGUUCCCUGUGGACUAGUCAGAAAAUGGACAUGCACGCUGACUUCAGUGGUUUUCCCUCACCAGCAAUGCUGUGACCGUUAUUUUUACCUUCCCGUGGACACCAAAAUUGUAGAUACCCAAAAUCCAAGCAUGCUGGGCUGCCUUACAUAAAAUGGAUGUGUGCACAACAGCGCACUUCUUCCUCUAUGUCAAAGCAUCUGUAAAUUACCGAUAGUCCCCCAAUAUGAUAUAAAUGCGGUGUAAAUAUUGUUAUACCGCAUUGUUUAGGGAAUGAUGGAAAGAGAAAGGUUUGGGCAUGUUCAGCAGACACAACUUUUAAAAAUAUCUCGCACUCUAGACUCAAUCUGUGGAUGUCGAGGCCUUAGGUACGCAAGACUAACAUGUUUGUUCAUCUAGAAUGUCUGGAAAGAACCUCACAAAACCGAUGGACUAAGUGACUAGUGGGACGGAUGCUUUAGAGUAUGUCUAGGUUAGGCUGUUACUGCUGUGAACAGACACCAUGACCAAGGCAACUCUAAUAAGGACAACAUUUAAUUGGUCUGGCUUACAGGUUCAGAGGUUCAAUCUGGUAUCGCCAAGGCGGGAGCAUGGCACCGUCCAAGCAGGCAUGGUGCAGGAGGAGCAUCUGAAGGCUGCUAACACUGGCUCCCACGUUGUUAGGAAGAGUGUCUCAAAGCCAUCCCACAGUGACACAGUUCCUCCAACAAGGCCACACCUCCUCCAACAAGACCACACCUCCUCCAACAAGACCACACCUCCUCCAACAAGACCACACCUCCUCCAGCAAGACCACACCUCCUAAAAGCGAUAGGUCAAGCAUAUUCAAACUACCACGGGAGCCAAUGGUAUUAUUGCUUAGCAGUCAUGGUGUUUUAUCACAGCAACAGAAACCCUAAGAAGUUGAUACCAGGAUAGUGGAGUAUCGCUGUGACAGACCUAACUGUUGGGAGGAUUGUGGAAGGACUUUGGAACUUUGGGCUAGAAAAGCCAUUGAGAGAGAAUUCAAAGCUUGGUGAGCUGUUCUGUAGGAGCUUGGAAGAAUGUUGAAAGCCCUGCAGACAAUGGAAGCCUGGGUCGUGAAUUCCAGACGGAAGUUUGAGAGUCGCUUAAAGACUUACAGGGUAUGUUUGGUAUUUUUGAGUUGAGAAUCUGUGGUUCUGGUUAACUGGGCCUCACAAAUUAGCUGUGGAUACCAUGAGACUAGAACCACUGGAGUAAAACCUUUGGUUUACUGGGACAAUUGGUGCUGGUUAGCUGCAGUUAAGGAAUUAGCAAGGAUUAAGAAGAGACCAGCAUCACUGAAGUGAAAUCCGGGAAGUGUUUCCUCAGGGUCAGCACACAGAAGCUGUGUUCAAGAGGCAACCAAACCUGUAUCUUCGCGCUGGAAGCUGAACUCUGUAUCGUAAGAACCUCCCAGUUAUAUGGGUUUUGAAGGCAUGAAGAGGUCAUGGAGAGCAGCUGAGGCUCGGCACUGUGGGAGGCCAGGAGAGGUAAAAGUGGUAAAAGUGUAGCAUAGUCCAAUUGUUGCAGAAGUCUCCAAUAUAUUGAAGAUGCCAGUACCAUAAGAUGACCACCAAGAACAGCAGCAGCAGAAUAAAGCUGACCAGAACUUAGAAGACAGCUGUGUGUGCUGCAGAGGCCAGAGCUGGAAAAGGGACCCAAGUCCCUUGGUGGAGCCCAGAAUACCAUGAUGAAUCCAGAUAAUUGGACAUUGAGUUAGAUACACAGUUUGGAGUUUGUCUUUUGUUUUGAUCUGAUUGUAGCUGUGCUCUGGUUCCCUUAUAAAAUAAGAAAGUAUUAACUUAUUUUUUAUUUUACAGAAGCUCACAGUUGAGAGACUGCUUUUUUUGUUGUAGCUUUAAAUGGGAUUUUAGAUUUUGUUUUUGUUUUUGUUUUUUUUUGGGGGGGUUUGGUUGUUGUUUUUUUUUGUUUUUGUUUUUGUUUUUUUUUUCUUUUUGGUUUGGUUGGUUUUUUUUAUCUUAUUUUGCUUCCUUCUUUAUUUGAGACAGGGUUUCUGUGUGUAGCCCUGGCUGUCCUGGAACUCGCUGUGUAAACCAGGCUCACUCUGCCUGCCUCUGCCUCCUGAGUUCUGGGAUUAAAGGCCACUAUUGAAACUUUGGAUUUUUUUUUUUUAAAGACUGAGUUCUAAUGUGUUUGAAUUUGUAAAGACCAUGAGUAUUUUUUCAGUUUGUAAAAUGUUUUAUAUUGUGUUGUUGAUGUCCAUGUGUGAUAUUGGGGAUAAACAAGAAAGAAAAGGUUAUGGUUUAACAGUAUCAUGUUUGUGUGUCAAUUUUACAAGGAAUCAAUUGUCUGUCAUCUGGAAUUAGAGUCAUCUGUAAGGAGGGAACCUCAGCUGAGAAAAAACGUUUCCAUGCCAGGCCAUGGUGGUACAUGCCUUUUAUCGAGAGGCAGGCAAAUCUCUGAUUUCAAGGCCAACUUAGUCUACAGAAUGAGUUCCAGAACAGCUGGGGCUACUCAUUUUCUUAAUUAGUGAUUGACGGGAGUGGGUCCAGCCAAUUGUGGGUGGUGCCAUCACUGGGCUGGUGGUCCUGGGUUCUAUAAGAAGACAGGUUGAACAAGCCAGUAAGCCACACUCCUCCAUGGCCUCUGCAUCAGCUCCCACCUCCAGGUCCCUUCCCUGUUUGAGUUCCUGUCCUGACUUUCUUCAGUGAUGGACUUUACAAUGUGGAAGUGUGAGCCAGAUAAACCCUUUCCUGCCCAACUUGCUUUUGGUCAGGGUGUUUCAUCACAGCAAUAAAAACCCUGACUAAGGUAAAUGGUAUGGGUUUUAUAUUUAGGCAAGAAGAGAAAUCAUGGAAAAUGGCCUGUCGGGUAUCCAUUUGGAUAGCAGCAGUCCUUCUAAAUUGUCCCUUACCUGACGGGAAAGAGAUGGGAAACCACCUGAUUGUUUCUGGGAUAGAAUUCAGUUCCUCAGCAAGGAUAGUGAGCAUUCUUAACUGCUUUACAGUCUUGGAUGUGAUUUACAUCUUCAGUCUGUGACUUCCACUCCUGUUGAGUGAUCCGGUCCUUCUUUAUCUUCCUCCUUACACAGUAAAAUACCUGAGGAUGACAGAAAAACAUUAACUUCAAAUUUUGGGACUAGCGUGAAUCGAUUCUAACCUCUUUUGAAAAUAUGGUUUGUGGAGUUUCUUUUAUUUCUCUCCUACUUCUUAACUUCAUGGGCCUGUUUGUUAAAAGUCUUAUUUCGUUUUGUGUUUCAACAGUAUCUUCGAUUGCUUCUUACUGCCCUCCCCCAAGCCCCACCCCCUCCCUAGAUCUGGCUGCUUGCUGUGGUUGGAAUUGAGCUUCUUUUCAAAGACUGGGCUUGGGCUCUGCAGUGAUGCUGGAGAGGCUGGUAGGAAAAUGAAGGGACGUUGGAGGGGGGCUGGCAGCCCCUGGCUUCUGCAUCAUCUUCUGUGCUUGAGCCUGUGUGUGUGGUUGUUUGUUUGGUUUGGUUUGGCUUUUGAGGCUCAUGUUUGUCCGUGUCCACUAUGAACUGGCAAAACAAGGAAGCAGCAGUGUAGUUCUCUCAUUUAAUCCUACAUCGAGAAGGCAGGGACUGUGAUCAACUCCCAUUUCACAGGUGAGAAGACUGAGCCUUCCAGAGGCUAAAUAGCAAGGCAAGGCAAGGCACAGAAGCAAGGCUCCACAUCCAAACAGACUGACUACAAAGCCUUCGCUACAGGAAAAGAGGCUGCUCUCAAUUAACAUGCCUGAAGCAGGGAUUGAGAACUGGUUGGUUUCUCUUUAAAACUAAUUAUUGAAAAAAAAAAAGUAUCAACUAAGCAAAAAAGAAUGGUGAGCAGCUGGAGCAGUAUAUUGAAGAGCACUUGGUGCUAGCCUGCUUGAAUUCAUACCAGCUCUAUUCAGUCCGAUCCAGUGACUGGGUGUGUUUGUUGGGAACACAGGGCACACACACACAAUGCAUUUUUGGGUCCAGGAGUAAGAGGCAAUAUUCCGACUCAAGAAUCGGCUUUCCGGGACAUGGUGGCACCAACACUCUGGAGAUCAGAUUAUCAUGUGUUGGUGGCAGCAGGGAAGAGUAUUGAUGACAAGUAGUGAAUCGGAGAACACUGUAAAAGACAUACCCAGACAGUCUCAUCCUGGCAGCAGGCUGGGCGGUUGCUGGCUCAGGCCUUGUUUCUACUUCAGGUAGCCAUUUGGUUUUAACUCUCAAGCCUCUUGGAAGAUCUAAAUGAGAUUUCCACUGGUCUUAACCAAAACAGAGUAACCCAAGAUCAGUGUUUGUUUCGUUGACCUCCAGGAUUCCCCUGAAGACCAGAAGAGCAUUGCUCUGCCUCACGCACUGUGUACUUUCGUUUUUUGUUUUUUGUUUUUUUUUUUUCUUCUGUCACUUGGGCAAGUUGAGCAGUGAGGCACUGGGGGUCACAUUUCCUAAACUAUAAAAUGGAGGGUCUUAGACUUUGUGAGUUCCAAUCGCUGCAA